rnacentral:lncRNA from 1 species
GCUUUGCUUGAUAGGAAUAUUUUAUUGAGCGAGAAACCAACUGUUCCCACUGAGGGAGACUUCAGUCCGAAAACUAGUAUGAAGCUCAGAGGCUUGACAGUCCAGAACGGUUUAUAAAGUGGAAGAGGAAGUUGUUUAAUCUUUACAAUGAUUGGUUAUUACGAGGGGAUUUCCAGACGGCAGGGGAAUGGUUUAAACGUGAUUAUCUUAUACCAUUUUAGGAAGAUGAUUUGUUUCUUUGAUUUUCAAAGAAUACGGAAAUCAUUUAUGAGAAAUAAGCUGUUAGGUUUCCCUUACAUUUUGAAAUGACCUAAUUUAGUUUUGCUGACGUGGCUUAAGUGGUUUUGCCGGCUAGGAGGAUAUUCAAGCCUGGUCUACAAUUUAUUUUAUUUUAACUCCUGGAAAUGCGAUCUCUCUCGGUGUGAGCACCGCUCAACUCUCAGCCCCUUCGUGUCGUUGCCGUUUUGACUGUUGCGGCGAUAAGCACCUGGCCGGCGUUUUCUCGGACGUACCGUCUCCUGGAGCCGAGCUGGCGGCGGGCUGGAGCUGGCCUCCCCGCUCCCCUCAGUCUGUGGCUGCCACCAAGGCUGCUGGGUGGAGCCGCUUUCCAUUAUGCAAGUUCCCCUUUAGCUGUGCUUCUGUUUUCACUCGCCUACAAGUCCAGGUGUCCGGUGUGUGCGAUUUCAGGCGUAGCAGCAAACAGCGGUUUAGCGGUGACCGUCAUUUCUUAGUCCUAGAAGUCCCGAUUUAGGGUAGCGACAGGCGCUGCUUGAGGCGUGACCGGGAAAAUCCUGGGACCCCGCUGUUCAACGGUGUUCACUGUUUCUUCUUUGUAGAGCUGCUUUCUCUGAAUGGUUUACAUUUUAAGUUUCUUUCACUGUAUUUUGUUCUGGGAUCGAUAUGUUUGGUUUGUUUUCUUUUGGGGUGUACUUGCAUUUUAGAAUUUGUUGUUUAAUUUAUCUUAAUUUACGUUCUACUAGUUUUUCUACUGAGGUUCCCGUGUGCGGCGUCCGCACGGGAUGCAUGCCGUGGGACCGGCGUGCGUCCGGGAGCGGAGGAGCGGAGCAGCGCAGCCCCGGCUCAACCCGCUAGUAAGCGGAUCAGUGGUUUGUCCUGGGCGUCAUCGCUCCUUGCGCCCCGCCUGCGAUUUCUCGUCAGCACUUUCGCCAGCAGCGGCGAGGCCGCCGUUUCUUGGUGCUGGCACCGCUGCUGGUGUCAGAGAACGUUUCUCGCUCGCAGGGCCCUCAGGCCAUCUGUGAUGUCAUCUUCUUAUUGUUAGCAUCGCCCGCUUCCCUGGCCGGCCUUUUCAGGCUCGCAGCACCAUGAUUUGCACAGAUGUGACAUUGUCAGCAUUUUCUCUAGUAGCGCUGGGCCUGGGUUUUUCUGUCACAACGCGGAUUUGCACCGUGUGGGGGUUUUCUGGGUGGCAGCACCUUUCUUUCCUCAACGCUGAUGUUUCUAGGUUGCUCACUGCUAGUUCUCAGAGUUUCUUGGUGACUUUCCAAGGCGCCUUAACUCUCUAAUGAAAACGGAAGUUGACCUAGAGGAGACAUCGUUUCCGGGGCUGGUAUGGGGCAUUGAGUCAGAAGAAUGUCCAGGAAAGUAUAAAUGCUCAGUAAAUAUUUUACGUGAUCCAGUUCCCCAGAAACUGUAUUUGAGAGUGAGGAGAAUGGCCAAAGAAAAGCAAAGAUUUGAAGCAUGAGAGGGGUUGACUCAAGAAUUUCCCAUGAGAGCAAAGUUCUCUGUUGCAGGCCUUGAAGAUUAACAGGACCUCUUAACAAAGGAACAGUAGGUGGCCUUUGGGAGCUGAGAACAACCUUAGGCUGACAACCAGUAAGAAAAUGGCGCCCUCUGUCCAAAACCACAAAGAACUUUUUCCUGCCAACCACCUGAAUGAGCUUGGAAGACAACCCUGGCUGCAGAUGAGAAUGUAGCUGGCCAAUCCCUUAUUAUAAACUCUGUAGACUUCUGACCUGAAGGACCUGGUUGCCCUGUGCCCUGAAUUCUUAUCUACAGAAUUGUGAACCAAUAAAUGUGUCCUGU